GACGAACGCUGGCGGCGUGCUUAACACAUGCAAGUUGAACGGUAAGGCCCUUCGGGGUACACGAGUGGCGAACGGGUGAGUAACACGUGGGUGAUCUGCCCUGCACUUCGGGAUAAGCCUGUGAAACUGGGUCUAAUACCGGAUAGGACCCUGGGAUGCAUGUCCUGGGGUGGAAAGCUUUUGCGGUGUGGGAUGGGCCCGCGGCCUAUCAGCUUGUUGGGGGGGUGAGGGCCUACCAAGGCGACGGCGGGUAGCCGGCCUGAGACGGUGACCGGCAACACUGGGACGUAGAUACGGCCAAGACUACUACGGGAGGCAGCAGUGGUGAAUAGUGCACGAUGGGCGCAAGCCUGAUGUAGCGACGCCGCGUGAGGGAUGACGGCCUUCGGGUUGUAAGCCUCUUGCAGCACCGACGAAGCGCAAGUGACGGUAGGUGCAGAAGAAGGACCGGCCAACUACGUGCCAGCCGCCGCAGUAA
rnacentral:rRNA from 1 species